rnacentral:rRNA from 1 species
UACGGAGGGUGCAAGCGUUAUCCGGAUUUACUGGGUUUAAAGGGUGCGUAGGUGGAUUGGUAAGUCAGUGGUGAAAUACUUUCGCUUAACGAAGGAACUGCCAUUGAUACUAUCAAUCUUGAAUGUAGUGGAGGUAGGCGGAAUGCGUCAUGUAGCGGUGAAAUGCUUAGAUAUGACGCAGAACACCAAUUGCGAAGGCAGCUUGCUACACUACUAUUGACACUGAGGCGCGAAAGCGUGGGGAUCAAACAGG